rnacentral:rRNA from 1 species
GUGUCAGCAGCCGCGGUAAAACGUAGGAACCGAGCGUUAUCCGGAUUCACUGGGUGUAAAGCGCGUGCAGGUGGCUUCGUAAGUUGGACGUGAAAUCUCCUGGCUUAACUGGGAGAGGCCGUUCAAUACUGCGGGGCUUGAGGGCAGGAGAGGGAGGUGGAAUUCCCGGUGUAGUGGUGAAAUGCGUAGAUAUCGGGAGGAACACCAGUGGCGAAGGCGGCCUCCUGGCCUGCUCCUGACACUGAGACGCGAAAGCUAGGGGAGCGAACGGGAUUAGAUACCCUUGUAGUCC